AGUGAACGCUGGCGGUAGGCCUAACACAUGCAAGUCGAACGGCAGCACAGGAGAGCUUGCUCUCUGGGUGGCGAGUGGCGGACGGGUGAGGAAUACAUCGGAAUCUACUCUGUCGUGGGGGAUAACGUAGGGAAACUUACGCUAAUACCGCAUACGACCUACGGGUGAAAGCAGGGGACCUUCGGGCCUUGCGCGAUUGAAUGAGCCGAUGUCGGAUUAGCUAGUUGGCGGGGUAAAGGCCCACCAAGGCGACGAUCCGUAGCUGGUCUGAGGGGAGGAUCAGCCACACUGGAACUGAGACACGGUCCAGACUCCUACGGGGGGAAGCAGUGGGGAAUAUUGGACAAUGGGCGCAAGCCUGAUCCAGCCAUACCGCGUGGGUGAAGAAGGCCGUCGGGUUGUAAAGCCCUUUUGUUGGGAAAGAAAUCCAGCUGGCUAAUACCCGGUUGGGAUGACGGUACCCAAAGAAUAAGCACCGGCUAACUUCGUGCCAGCCGCCGCCGUAA
rnacentral:rRNA from 1 species